rnacentral:rRNA from 1 species
UACGUAGGUGGCAAGCGUUGUCCGGAAUUAUGGGGCGUAAAGCGCGCGCAGGUGGUUCCUUAAGUCUGAUGUGAAAGCCCACGGCUCAACCGUGGAGGGUCAUUGGAAACUGGGGAACUUGAGUGCAGAAGAGGAAAGUGGAAUUCCACGUGUAGCGGUGAAAUGCGUAGAGAUGUGGAGGAACACCAGUGGCGAAGGCGACUUUCUGGUCUGUAACUGACACUGAGGCGCGAAAGCGUGGGGAGCGAACAGG